rnacentral:snoRNA from 1 species
UUGCCUGGCCUCUGGCAGUAGGCUGCAGGCACUGAAGU